rfam:Camelus ferus unplaced genomic scaffold scaffold79655, whole genome shotgun sequence.
GAGGGUAUCACUCAUGGGUAGAGUGCACGUUUAGCAUGUAUAAGGUCCUGGGUUCAAUCCCCAGUACCUCCA